rnacentral:tRNA from 1 species
GGGCCGGUCGUCUAGCCUGGUUAGGACGUCGCUCUGACACGGCGAAGGCCGAGUGUUCAACUCACUCCCGGCCCA